rnacentral:lncRNA from 1 species
UCAAACUUCUUCUUCAUAUUAGUCGCCAUUUCACCCAACAAAUAAUUUCCUCUUAAUCUUCAUUCAUCCAAUUCGAUUACAAGAUUGCAAAUUUCAUGAAGAUAAGCACAAGUACUAACUUGCAAUGAAGCACUAAACUUCAAAGUCACAUUAAAGAAAUUUUCAAGAAAUUUAACAAAAACAAAUGCACUUUCCCAAUCUAAAUUUGACGGAGGUCCACCCCUCCUUCUACCAUUAUCAUCAUCUAAUGCAAAUACUAAGCAUCCUCUUCUUCUAACCUAUCAAAAACUUUUUCAAAUUUCAAUGUCGUUUCCAACAUCAAAUAGGUAGAAUUCCACCUAGUUGGAACAUCCAAAAACACAAUAAACUUGCAAUCAAUCUUCUCUUUCCUUGCACACUCCUUCAAUUUUUCAUACCUAGAGGGAGAAGAUUUCACAUAUUUGAUUGCAUUGCGAAUAUUCACAAUGGAGUCACGUGCUUCUCUCAAGCCUUCAACAAUAAUCAAAUUGAUAAUGUGCACACAACAUCUCAAGUGCAAAU